rnacentral:sRNA from 1 species
CAAGCUUUUCAUAUGUAUUGUAUUAUCAUUCCUCGUGUUUUAGCUGCAACAAAUAUGAAGUGGAUUGAAGCUAAAAUGAAAGAGCUGGGAGUGAGCACAAAUGCAAAUUAUAAGAUUACUUUCAUGUUGGAUAGUGCUGCUAUGAUAACAGUACAUACUCCAAGGAGAGGAUUAAUAGAUGUAAAGCCUCUUGGUGUUAUAUGGGGAAAGUUUUCGGAGUUUUACAGCAAGAAAAACACCAUUAUGUUUGAUGACAUAGGGAGAAAUUUUCUAAUGAACCCACAGAAUGGACUAAAGAUAAGGCCUUUUAUGAAAGCGCACCUAAAUCGUGAUAAAGACAAAGAACUUUUAAAAUUAACUCAGUACCUCAAGGAGAUAGCAAAAUUAGAUGACUUUUUGGAUCUAAAUCACAAAUAUUGGGAAAGAUAUCUCUCAAAGAAGCAAGGACAGUAGUUACAAGUUAUACUGGCAGUUAUUGAAGAUACUUAAGAUCCAAGAACUUCUUGCUUUUAUGCUAGAAAUCAUUAUGAUAGUGCUGGACACUGAAGCAAAUACCAUACUGCUUAUACUUGGUCUUCCAGUUUUUUGUAAAUUUAAUUUUAUAUUUUUUGAAGAUGAUAGCAAUAUGCUAAAAAAUGCUUGUCCCCUAUAUGAAUAUUCUGUUAUGCUUGAAAAAUAUUUUCUCCAGCGUUGGUUACUAACCACCCCACCCCCUCACCACACCCACACACACACACAAAGUGGAGAAAAAUGUAUACUCAACAAUGUCAUUUUGUGACUUUGGAAACAAGUUAUGUUUUGUGUUUUUGUCUCAUUGUGUUAUUGUCUGACUAAAUCUAAAACCAAACCCAUGUUGAAACUAGUACUUUUCCCUUUAAAAACAAACAAAAAAAACAAAAAAAAACCUUUUUGAUUAAAGAACCUAGUUUGCUAUGCUUAAAAUUACCAAGAAUUUUUUAUUUCUUUGUCAUAGACACAGUUUCUCUUCUGUAUGCCACUAGUUACAUUUCUAAAUUCUGAGCGGUCUCAGUUAGGCCUGUAUGUGUGUACAUGUCCAAGUAAAGCUGGAAAACGUCAGUCUUGACACAGCUGUGUCUUAGUAUGAGAAACAGAAGACUGAAGAAUAAAAACUAAGGAACAAGAAUGAGUCUCUUUUUGGUGGCUAAGUAGAAUCUUCCUAAAACCAUUGUCAUAAAAGCAGUUAAAGGCAAUAAAUUUUUAAAAGGGACAUAUCACUGAUUGAUUCCUAAAAAGCAUGAACAAAAAGUUUUUGUUCUGUUCCAGCUAUAUCUUGUCUAAGUGCUAACACUGUUUCAGUGAAAAUAUCUAGCCAUAAGAUUAAAAAAAAUAUUAUUUGCAAUGCUUAAGCCUGCAGAUAUGUAAAGUGACCACUGUUUUGUGUUGACAAUAUUGCUUUAUACAGUUCUUGUAUUUGAAAGGAAUUGAUCCUUUUAAAGAAACAUGGUGUAUAUUGUUCUUACAGGACUAAUUUCAGUGGUGUAAAUAAUAAAUAUCUUUUCUUAAAA